rnacentral:rRNA from 1 species
UACGUAGGGUGCGAGCGUUAAUCGGAAUUACUGGGCGUAAAGUGUGCGCAGGUGGCCGCGCAAGUCGAGUGUGAAAUCCCCGAGCUUAACUUGGGAAUUGCGCUCGAAACUACGUGGCUCGAGUGUGGCAGAGGAAGGUGGAAUUCCACGUGUAGCGGUGAAAUGCGCAGAUAUCAGGAGGAACACCGAUGGCGAAGGCAGGUCUCUGGGCCAUAACUGACGCUGAGAAGCGAAAGCAUGGGGGAGCGAACAGG